rnacentral:rRNA from 1 species
UAGGGAAUCUUCUGCAAUGGACGAAAGUCUGACCGAGCAACGCCGCGUGAGUGAAGAAGGUUUUCGGAUCGUAAAACUCUGUUGUUAGAGAAGAACAAGGACGUUAGUAACUGAACGUCCCCUGACGGUAUCUAACCAGAACGCCACGGCUAACUACGUGCCAGCAGCCGCGGUAAUACGUAGGUGGCAAGCGUUGUCCGGAUUUAUUGGGCGUAAAGCGAGCGCAGGAGGUUUCUUAAGUCUGAUGUGAAAGCCCCCGGCUCAACCGAGGAGGGUCAGUGGAAACUGGGGGACUGGAGUGCAGAAGAGGAGAGUGGAAUUCGAUGUGUAGCGGUGAAAUGCGUAGAUAUAUGGAGGAACACCAGUGGGGAAGGCGGCGCUCUGGUCUGUAACUGACGCUGAGGCUCGAAAGCGGGGGGAGCAAACAGG